rnacentral:rRNA from 1 species
CCUACGGGAGGCAGCAGUGGGGAAUAUUGGGCAAUGGGCGCAAGCCUGACCCAGCAACGCCGCGUGAAGGAAGAAGGCUUUCGGGUUGUAAACUUCUUUUCUCAGGGACGAAGCAAGUGACGGUACCUGAGGAAUAAGCCACGGCUAACUACGUGCCAGCAGCCGCGGUACUACGUAGGUGGCAAGCGUUAUCCGGAUUUACUGGGUGUAAAGGGCGUGUAGGCGGGGACGCAAGUCAGAUGUGAAAACCCCGGGCUCAACCUGUGGCCUGCAUUUGAAACUGUGUGUCUUGAGUACUGGAGAGGCAGACGGAAGUCCUAGUGUAGCGGUGAAAUGCGUAGAUAUUAGGAGGAACACCAGUGGCGAAGGCGGUCUGCUGGACAGAAACUGACGCUGAGGCGCGAAAGCGUGGGGAGCAAACAGGAUUAGAUACCCCUGUAGUC